UAGGUAAGAGCAAGAGCAAAGGAAAUGACAGGAAGAUUGCAUGAUAUGAGAUACUCUUGCUUUCGUCCCUGAUGGGACUUAAUUGAAGAGGUAUUCUCGGAGAGGAAGAAAACAGAGUAUGUUGAGAAGUUUGGUUGCAGAUGCAUUUUUGGCAAAGAGAUAGAGUUAGGCGUUUUGGAUGUGUGCCUUGCCAUAGAGGAUGAAAGUCGACAUAUAGAGGAAUUUUCCAAAGCAGGUAGUGGUGUGGAUGUGGCUUUGUCAUCCACGCUUGUCGGCAACAGUGUUGUAGUUGGAAUAGUGAAAUUCACGUGUUUUCAACUCUGUCAAAGAUCUUUUGACAAAGUUGCAUGUGAUAUCUGAAAAGCUGAGAUUGCGUUUGGAAAAUGUUGACUGACUUUAUGCAGAGAAAUCCGACUUUUGAAAUUCGGAGAGCGAUGUCUCUUCGAUUUUUGAACAGGUGGCCACGUUGCCUCUUCUUUUAUAGAGGUAUUAAUUGUAUUCAAAUUGCACUUUGAAGUUUUCCCACCUGUGAAAAUUGUCUAUGUUGUAUUUAUGAGAUUUUAAUUUAUCUGACCUUCUUCUCCUUCA